rnacentral:rRNA from 1 species
GAUGAACGCUGGCGGCGUGCCUAAUACAUGCAAGUCGAGCGAAUGGAUUAAGAGCUUGCUCUUAUGAAGUUAGCGGCGGACGGGUGAGUAACACGUGGGUAACCUGCCCAUAAGACUGGGAUAACUCCGGGAAACCGGGGCUAAUACCGGAUAACAUUUUGAACCGCAUGGUUCGAAAUUGAAAGGCGGCUUCGGCUGUCACUUAUGGAUGGACCCGCGUCGCAUUAGCUAGUUGGUGAGGUAACGGCUCACCAAGGCAACGAUGCGUAGCCGACCUGAUAGGGUGAUCGGCCACACUGAGACUGAAACACGGCCCAGACUCCUACGGGAGGCAGCAGUAGGGAAUCUUCCGCAAUGGACGAAAGUCUGACGGAGCAACGCCGCGUGAGUGAUGAAGGCUUUCGGGUCGUAAAACUCUGUUGUUAGGGAAGAACAAGUGCUAGUUGAAUAAGCUGACACCUUGACGGUACCUAACCAGAAAGCCACGGCUAACUACGUGCCAGCCGCCGCAGUAA